rnacentral:rRNA from 1 species
AGUGAACGCUGACGGCGUGCCUCAGACAUGCAAGUCGUACGAGAAAAUUCCCGCAAGGGAAUCUGUAAAGUGGCGCACGGGUGAGUAAUACUUAGGUAACGUACCCUCUCGCUGGGGAUAACUAAGGGAAACUUUAGCUAAUACCGAAUGAUCCGGCGGGGACUGCGGUCCCUUUCGGCAAAGCCGUAAGGCGCGGGAGGAGCGGCCUGAGUCCCAUUAACUAGUUGGCAGGGUAACGGCCUACCAAGGUUACGANGGGUAGCUGGUCUGAGAGGACGACCAGCCACACUGGUACUGGAAUACGGACCAGACUCCUACGGGAGGCAGCAGUUAGGAAUAUUGCGCAAUGGGGGAAACCCUGACGCAGCGACGCCGUGUGGGUGAUGAA